AAUUCGGCGAUUUCCUCUGGCCUCCAUCGCCUCUCUCACGAUUUUUUUCCAAGCUCAGAGAUUCUUUCAAUCCGGUAUCAACAACUCAACAACGGCGAAUCAAGCAGCUUCUGUAGGUGACUUUUUCAGAUCUACCGCAUCUCUCUUCUCCUUCACAGCCGAUAACAUUGAGACCUAAAAGGUGAAAGAGGACGCUCUAGCAAGAAGAUGAAGUACGGUGGGAAGGAUGAUCAAAAGAUGAUGAACAUCCAAAAUGAAUAAUAUUAUCUUGGUGAUGAUGCCGAUAAGGAUUCUCGUGAUGGUGAAGGAUAGAAGAAGGAUAGGAUUAUAGCAAAUUGGAGUUGAAGCCAUAUAUAUAAUGGAAACAUGCCUUUGUAUCGCCAUAGCUGAACCUAUUUGCAGGUCUAGCUCACAGGAACUCAGUGUGGGAGGCUCAUAAUGAAAUUUUGGUGACUAUAGAAAGGAUUUGAUGCUACUCGGUGGCUAGAUCGAACUUUUUAAAGCUGUUUACUUCUAAAUUCAAGUGACAUAGAUUCGGUUGUAGCAAGGUCAAUAAUCUCGGUAAUGGUGUUUCAUUUGUAACAUCUUCAUUUAAUCAAUAAUGGUAUAAUAAUAUCCUAAAUCUCGGGAGAGGCUGAUCUCUUUAAGAAAAUACAAAGUUUGCUUCUUUUACCACGUGCCCUUUUUGGGCUUGCAUGUAAUGUUGCUGUCACUUUAUAAUCAAGUGUUGUCGUUCAGA